UACGUAGGGCGCAAGCGUUGUCCGGAAUUAUUGGGCGUAAAGAGCUCGUAGGCGGCCUGUUGCGUCCGCUGUGAAAUCCCGGGGCUUAACCCCGGGCGUGCAGUGGAUACGGGCAGGCUGGAGGCAGGCAGGGGAGAACGGAAUUCCCGGUGUAGCGGUGAAAUGCGCAGAUAUCAGGAGGAACACCGGUGGCGAAGGCGGGUCUCUGGGCCGUUACUGACGCUGAGGAGCGAAAGCGUGGGGAGCGAACAGG
rnacentral:rRNA from 1 species